rnacentral:rRNA from 1 species
GACGAACGCUGGCGGCGUGCUUAACACAUGCAAGUCGAACGAUGACGACCGAGCUUGCUCGGUCUGAUUAGUGGCGAACGGGUGAGUAACACGUGAGCAACCUGCCCUUCACUCUGGGAUAACCUCGGGAAAUCGGGGCUAAUACCGGAUAUGAGCUCCUGUCGCAUGGCGGGUGUUGGAAAGUUUUUCGGUGAAGGAUGGGCUCGCGGCCUAUCAGUUUGUUGGUGAGGUAGUGGCUCACCAAGGCGAUGACGGGUAGCCGGCCUGAGAGGGCGACCGGCCACACUGGGACUGAGACACGGCCCAGACUCCUACGGGAGGCAGCAGUGGGGAAUAUUGCACAAUGGGCGAAAGCCUGAUGCAGCGACGCCGCGUGAGGGAUGACGGCCUUCGGGUUGUAAACCGCUUUCAGCAGGGAAGAAGCGAAAGUGACGGUACCGGCAGAAGAAGCGCCGGCUAACUACGUG